rnacentral:pre_miRNA from 1 species
CGCUUCAUAGUUAUCGGUCCAACGAAGAUCAGAAGGCUUCACAUCGUAGAAAUCCGGACCAAUAAAGGUGAAGGUGUUUGUAUGAUGUUAAGCUUCUGACCUUUGUUGGACGAGUAAAGAUGGGGUG